AACGGCUCACCAAGCCUAUGACGGGUAACUGGUCUGAGAGGAUGGCCAGUCAGAGGGAAACUGAGACACGGUUCCCACUUCUACGGAAGGCAGCAGUAAAGAAUCUUCCACAAUGGACGAAAGUCUGAUGGAGCGACACCGCGUGAAGGAUGAAGGCCCUUGGGUCGUAAACUUCUUUUUUGGGGGAAAAAUUCUGAUUGUACCCUAAGAAUAAGCACCGGCAAAUCACGUGCCAGCAGCCGCGGUAAUACGUGAGGUGCAAACGUUACCCGGAAUUAUUGGGCGUAAAGCGUCCGCAGGUGGCAAAGCAAGUUAGGUGUUAAAUCUUGAGGCUCAACUUCAAGACUGUGCUUAAAACUACUUUGCUAGAGAUUAGGAGAGGUGAGUGGAAUUCUGCAUGUAGGGGUAAAAUCCGUAGAUAUGCAGAGGAACACCAAAAGCGAAGGCAGCUCACUGGCCUAUAUCUGACACUCAUGGACGAAAGCGUAGGUAGCAAACGGGAUUAGAUACCCCGGUAGUCUACGCCGUAAACGAUGAUCACUCGAUGUCGGGAGUUCGACCCUCUCGGUGUCUAAGCAAACGCGAUAAGUGAUCCGCCUGAGAACUACGAUCGCAAGAUUAAAACUCAAAGGAAUAGACGGGGACCCACACAAGCGGUGGAGCGUGUGGUUUAAUUCGAUAGUAAGCGAGGAACCUUACCAGGGUUUGACAUCUCGGGAAUUUUCUGGAAACAGAGAAGUGCCGCAAGGAACCCGAAGACAGGUGUUGCAUGGUUGUCGUCAGCUCGUGCCUUGAGGUGUUCGGUUAAGUCCGUAAACGAGCGCAACCCACGUCCUUAGUUGUAUUUUUCUAAGGAGACUGCCUUGCAUAACAAGGAGGAAGGUGUGGAUGACGUCAAAUCAGCAUGACCCUUAUACUCUGGGCGACACACGCGCUACAAUGGCCGGUACAACGGGCAGCCAAGGAGUGAUCCGGAGCGAAUCCCUAAAACCGGUCCAAGUUCGGAUUGAAGGCUGCAACUCGCCUUCAUGAAGCUGGAAUCGCUAGUAAAUGUGUAUCA
rnacentral:rRNA from 1 species